rnacentral:rRNA from 1 species
CAGUCGCCACGGUAAUACGAAGGGGGCUAGCGUUGUUCGGAAUUACUUGGCGUAAAGCGCACGUAGGCGGAUAUUUAAGUCAGGGGCGAAAUCCCAGAGCUCAACUCUGGAACUGCCUUUGAUACUGGGUAUCUUGAGUAUGGAAGAGGUGAGUGGAAUUCCGAGUGUAGAGGUGAAAUUCGUAGAUAUUCGGAGGAACACCAGUGGCGAAGGCGGCUCACUGGUCCAUUACUGACGCUGAGGUGCGAAAGCGUGGGGAGCAAACAGGAUUAGAUACCCGUGUAGUCCCUGUCUCUUAUAC